AUUGAACGCUGGCGGCAGGCUUAACACAUGCAAGUCGAACGGUAACAGAUAAGUACUUGUACUUAUGCUGACGAGUGGCGGACGGGUGAGUAAUGCUUGGGAAUCUGUCUUAGGGAGGGGGAUAACGACGGGAAACUGUCGCUAAUACCGCGUAAUGUCUAAGGACGAAAGGGUGGGACCUUCGGGCCACCUGCCGUAAGAUGAGCCCAAGUGGGAUUAGGUAGUUGGUGAGGUAAGGGCUCACCAAGCCGACGAUCUCUAGCUGGUCUGAGAGGAUGACCAGCCACACUGGAACUGAGACACGGUCCAGACUCCUACGGGGGCAGCAGUGGGGAAUAUUGCGCAAUGGGGGCAACCCUGACGCAGCCAUGCCGCGUGAAUGAAGAAGGCC
rnacentral:rRNA from 1 species